rnacentral:rRNA from 1 species
GAUGAACGCUAGCGGCAGGCUUAAUACAUGCAAGUCGAGGGGCAGCGCAGGGUAGCAAUACCUGGGCGGCGACCGGCAAACGGGUGCGGAACACGUACAGAACCUUCCUUCGAGCGGGGGAUAGCCUAGAGAAAUUUGGAUUAAUACCUCAUAGUAUAAUGGUGUGGCAUCACAUUAUUAUUAAAGAUUUAUCACUUGAAGAUGGCUGUGCGUAUGAUUAGGUAGUUGGCGGGGUAACGGCCCACCAAGCCUACGAUCAUUAACUGGUGUGAGAGCACGACCAGUCACACGGGCACUGAGACACGGGCCCGACUCCUACGGGAGGCAGCAGUAAGGAAUAUUGGUCAAUGGACGCAAGUCUGAACCAGCCAUGCCGCGUGGAGGAUGAAGGUCCUCUGGAUUGUAAACUUCUUUUAUCUGGGACGAAAAAAGGCUUUUCUAAGUCGUCUGACGGUACCAGAUGAAUAAGCACCGGCUAACUCCGUGCCAGCCGCCGCAGUAACAC